CGGAGGAGCAUGUGGUUAAUUCGAUGAUACGCGAGGAACCUUACCUGGGCUCGAACGUAAGAUGACUGUAGGUGAAAGCUUACAUCUCUUCGGAGCAUUUUACGAGGUGCUGCAUGGUUGUCGUCAGCUCGUGCCGUGAGGUGUCGGGUUAAGUCCCAUAACGAGCGCAACCCCUACCUUUAGUUGCCAUCAGGUAAUGCUGGGGACUCUAAAGGAACUGCCUACGCAAGUAGUGAGGAAGGCGGGGAUGACGUCAAAUCAGCACGGCCCUUACGUCCAGGGCUACACACGUGCUACAAUGGCCGAUACAAAGGGCAGCGACACUGCGAGGUGAAGCCAAUCCCGUAAAAUCGGUCUCAGUCCGGAUUGGAGUCUGCAACUCGACUCCAUGAAGUUGGAAUCGCUAGUAAUCGUGGAUCAGCAUGCCACGGUGAAUACGUUCCCGGGCCUU
rnacentral:rRNA from 1 species